GAUGAAGAACGCAGCGAAAUGCGAUAAGUAAUGUGAAUUGCAGAAUUCAGUGAAUCAUCGAAUCUUUGAACGCACAUUGCGCCCGCCAGUAUUCUGGCGGGCAUGCCUGUCUGAGCGUCAUUUCAACCCUCAUGCCCCUAGGGCGUGGUGUUGGGGAUCGGUCAAAGCCCGCAAGGGACGGCCGGCCCCUAAAUCUAGUGGCGGACCCGUCGUGGCCUCCCCUGCGAAGUAGUGAUAUUCCGCAUAGGAGAAGCGACGAGCCCCUGCCGUUAAACCCCCAACUUUCUCAGGUUGACCUCAGAUCAGGUAGGAAUACCCGCUGAACUUAAGCAUAUCAAUAAGCGGAGGA
rnacentral:misc_RNA from 1 species